UUUUUCCACAGUUCCUGCUUUCUCUUCAUAUGCUGCAGUUUAAAGGUUUCUCUUUAGACAGUUAGAAGGUUUUUUCAGAAGCAGGGUCUCAGAGUGUCGGUGCUGGAUCUGAGGAUGGGAAACACUUUGCUCUGUGUGCUGGGGAUUUUCUAUUCUCUGCUAACCAUUGAGACCUUCAUAUGUGACAUGAGGGAAGGAAAAGACACUGACUGGUAUUACAGAAUGAACAAGGAUGGUCAAGAAUAUAUAUCCUACUACACAAAUAAGGACUAUACAUUACAACCUCUAGUUAAAGGCCACAGCGGUGAAUACCAGUGCUUUGGUCAUCACAAGGUCUCAACUAAUUUUAUAAAAGAAAGUAAUAAAGUCUCUCUAACUGUAUCAGAUGAAGAAAUUAUCCUGGUGAGCCCUGUCCAUCCUGUGACGGAGGGAGAUUCUGUUACUCUUGGCUGCAAAUUGAGGGCAGAAAAAAUGCUUUCCAAUGUCACAUUCUACAAAAAUCAUCAAAUAAUGACAGAGAGGAGCUGAAUAUCUCUGCAGUCUCAAAGUCAGACGAAGGUUUCUACAAGUGUGAAUACUCAGGAAAUGUGUCACCACAGAGUUGGAUGUCAGUAAAAUCGUCCAGCUCUCCAAUUCCUCUGCUGCUGAUCGUUGGGCUGGUUAUUUGUAUCUUCCUGUUUGUUCUCCUGUCAUUGCUGCUGCUGUGUUGGUACAAAAAAAGGACCUUUUCUUGUUUAUUCUAUAUAAAUACCUCUCUGCAUAUUAAAAUCACUGAGGAAUUCUGAUGUCAAGAUAUGGAUCAGUGAUUCAGUUUUCAAAACAAAAUCAUGUAACGUAAUAAUUACGUCUUUCACAGAUUCAUGUUGUCACAGGUUGGUACAACACUCUCUUAUCUCAUCUUCAAAUUAAUGUAACGUAACAAACAUUUUAACACAUUAGUACUUAAAUAACAUGGUUUACUAUAUAUUUCAGGCUCAUCCAGUCUCAGAGAACCAAUCAAAGCUCUGCUACAGUCCAAAAUGUCAACCAAGAUGAGCAGCAAGUAUACUCCUCUCUUCUCCAUGGUGAUGUUUGUGUCUAUGAAACAAUCAGUGGCUCUGGAAACACUGGAAGUGGUGAACGGACAAAUGUAUACACAAAUGCCACAUCUGAGAUUCAGCUCAAAGCUCUUGUAAAGAGAAGUUGAGAAAAUGAGAAAAGCAGGGACAACAACAUGAAAAACAACAUAUUUAAACAGUGUUGACAGUAUUUAUAAAACUGAUGCCAUCCAAACAUCAUCAGAUCAUGUGAAAGACUUUCAACUGUAAUAUGUAUAAUAUAGAUUUAAUUUCCUGUUGAUUUCUGCUGAAUUUGCCUUUUUAUUUUUAUUUUUUAUUUAUUUUUAUUGCAAUAAUUUAGUUAUUCUGUAGGUGAGAUGGCAUAUAGGUCUAUAUGUGUGUCUUUUCAUGUCAGCAUGGCUUUCGGCAGGGUGUUUUGUUGUCUAGAGUCGUUUCAAGCUUGCAGUUAAAUGUGGUAGCAUUUUUGGUAAUGUCAUUAUCAUUGUUUUAUUUUGAGCCUGCAGAUCUGGGCUUCAUCACUUUGUACGUUCACCAUUCAUUGUGUGUGUGCACUACAGUCAUCUGUGCAGCUCACUUCAUCUGCUGUUAACGAGACAUGUCAUUUAUCUAGUAGUAGCAGCCUACAUGUCUUGUAAAGAAUUGGAAAAUUGGAAAAUGGAGACUUUUUUGUCAAAGACGUACAUUGUGGUUACUCUUUACUCUAUUUUUAGAAUUUGACAUAUUUACCAUCAAUAAAAUAUCGUUUUACAUAAA